rnacentral:rRNA from 1 species
GGUUAAGCGACUAAGCGUACACGGUGGAUGCCCUGGCAGUCAGAGGCGAUGAAGGACGUGCUAAUCUGCGAUAAGCGUCGGUAAGGUGAUAUGAACCGUUAUAACCGGCGAUUUCCGAAUGGGGAAACCCAGUGUGAUUCGUCACACUAUCAUUAACUGAAUCCAUAGGUUAAUGAGGCGAACCGGGGGAACUGAAACAUCUAAGUACCCCGAGGAAAAGAAAUCAACCGAGAUUCCCCCAGUAGCGGCGAGCGAACGGGGAGCAGCCCAGAGCCUGAAUCAGUGUGUGUGUUAGUGGAAGCGUCUGGAAAGGCGCGCGAUACAGGGUGACAGCCCCGUACACAAAAAUGCACAUACUGUGAGCUCGAUGAGUAGGGCGGGACACGUGGUAUCCUGUCUGAAUAUGGGGGGACCAUCCUCCAAGGCUAAAUACUCCUGACUGACCGAUAGUGAACCAGUACCGUGAGGGAAAGGCGAAAAGAACCCCGGCGAGGGGAGUGAAAAAGAACCUGAAACCGUGUACGUACAAGCAGUGGGAGCACGCUUAGGCGUGUGACUGCGUACCUUUUGUAUAAUGGGUCAGCGACUUAUAUUCUGUAGCAAGGUUAACCGAAUAGGGGAGCCGAAGGGAAACCGAGUCUUAACUGGGCGUUAAGUUGCAGGGUAUAGACCCGAAACCCGGUGAUCUAGCCAUGGGCAGGUUGAAGGUUGGGUAACACUAACUGGAGGACCGAACCGACUAAUGUUGAAAAAUUAGCGGAUGACUUGUGGCUGGGGGUGAAAGGCCAAUCAAACCGGGAGAUAGCUGGUUCUCCCCGAAAGCUAUUUAGGUAGCGCCUCGUGAAUUCAUCUCCGGGGGUAGAGCACUGUUUCGGCAAGGGGGUCAUCCCGACUUACCAACCCGAUGCAAACUGCGAAUACCGGAGAAUGUUAUCACGGGAGACACACGGCGGGUGCUAACGUCCGUCGUGAAGAGGGAAACAACCCAGACCGCCAGCUAAGGUCCCAAAGUCAUGGUUAAGUGGGAAACGAUGUGGGAAGGCCCAGACAGCCAGGAUGUUGGCUUAGAAGCAGCCAUCAUUUAAAGAAAGCGUAAUAGCUCACUGGUCGAGUCGGCCUGCGCGGAAGAUGUAACGGGGCUAAACCAUGCACCGAAGCUGCGGCAGCGACGCUUAUGCGUUGUUGGGUAGGGGAGCGUUCUGUAAGCCUGCGAAGGUGUGCUGUGAGGCAUGCUGGAGGUAUCAGAAGUGCGAAUGCUGACAUAAGUAACGAUAAAGCGGGUGAAAAGCCCGCUCGCCGGAAGACCAAGGGUUCCUGUCCAACGUUAAUCGGGGCAGGGUGAGUCGACCCCUAAGGCGAGGCCGAAAGGCGUAGUCGAUGGGAAACAGGUUAAUAUUCCUGUACUUGGUGUUACUGCGAAGGGGGGACGGAGAAGGCUAUGUUGGCCGGGCGACGGUUGUCCCGGUUUAAGCGUGUAGGCUGGUUUUCCAGGCAAAUCCGGAAAAUCAAGGCUGAGGCGUGAUGACGAGGCACUACGGUGCUGAAGCAACAAAUGCCCUGCUUCCAGGAAAAGCCUCUAAGCAUCAGGUAACAUCAAAUCGUACCCCAAACCGACACAGGUGGUCAGGUAGAGAAUACCAAGGCGCUUGAGAGAACUCGGGUGAAGGAACUAGGCAAAAUGGUGCCGUAACUUCGGGAGAAGGCACGCUGAUAUGUAGGUGAAGUCCCUCGCGGAUGGAGCUGAAAUCAGUCGAAGAUACCAGCUGGCUGCAACUGUUUAUUAAAAACACAGCACUGUGCAAACACGAAAGUGGACGUAUACGGUGUGACGCCUGCCCGGUGCCGGAAGGUUAAUUGAUGGGGUUAGCGCAAGCGAAGCUCUUGAUCGAAGCCCCGGUAAACGGCGGCCGUAACUAUAACGGUCCUAAGGUAGCGAAAUUCCUUGUCGGGUAAGUUCCGACCUGCACGAAUGGCGUAAUGAUGGCCAGGCUGUCUCCACCCGAGACUCAGUGAAAUUGAACUCGCUGUGAAGAUGCAGUGUACCCGCGGCAAGACGGAAAGACCCCGUGAACCUUUACUAUAGCUUGACACUGAACAUUGAGCCUUGAUGUGUAGGAUAGGUGGGAGGCUUUGAAGUGUGGACGCCAGUCUGCAUGGAGCCGACCUUGAAAUACCACCCUUUAAUGUUUGAUGUUCUAACGUUGACCCGUAAUCCGGGUUGCGGACAGUGUCUGGUGGGUAGUUUGACUGGGGCGGUCUCCUCCUAAAGAGUAACGGAGGAGCACGAAGGUUGGCUAAUCCUGGUCGGACAUCAGGAGGUUAGUGCAAUGGCAUAAGCCAGCUUGACUGCGAGCGUGACGGCGCGAGCAGGUGCGAAAGCAGGUCAUAGUGAUCCGGUGGUUCUGAAUGGAAGGGCCAUCGCUCAACGGAUAAAAGGUACUCCGGGGAUAACAGGCUGAUACCGCCCAAGAGUUCAUAUCGACGGCGGUGUUUGGCACCUCGAUGUCGGCUCAUCACAUCCUGGGGCUGAAGUAGGUCCCAAGGGUAUGGCUGUUCGCCAUUUAAAGUGGUACGCGAGCUGGGUUUAGAACGUCGUGAGACAGUUCGGUCCCUAUCUGCCGUGGGCGCUGGAGAAUUGAGGGGGGCUGCUCCUAGUACGAGAGGACCGGAGUGGACGCAUCACUGGUGUUCGGGUUGUCAUGCCAAUGGCACUGCCCGGUAGCUAAAUGCGGAAGAGAUAAGUGCUGAAAGCAUCUAAGCACGAAACUUGCCCCGAGAUGAGUUCUCCCUGACUCCUUGAGAGUCCUGAAGGAACGUUGAAGACGACGACGUUGAUAGGCCGGGUGUGUAAGCGCAGCGAUGCGUUGAGCUAACCGGUACUAAUGAACCGUGAGGCUUAACCUU